rnacentral:lncRNA from 1 species
AUUUCUAUAUUUACAUAUAGGUCCUCUGAUUUAUAAAUAAAUCUUUAUUAAUAAUUUUCAAAAGUGAGGGAUAUUACACUCUCCCCCCCCCCCCCCCCAAAAGAAAAUUUAGUCCUCUAAAUUGGUAAUAGCUCAAUCGAUGAAAAGAUGAGGAUUAUGAUUUCUUUAUUUCCUCCUCCUACUCUCAAAUAAUUUUAUCAAUACAAUACAAUUACACAAUUUUCCAAAAG